CUUUUUCUUUCACCGGAGCUUGCUCCACCGAAAGAAAAGGAGUGGCGAACGGGUGAGUAACACGUGGGUAACCUGCCCAUCAGAAGGGGAUAACACUUGGAAACAGGUGCUAAUACCGUAUAACAGUAGAAACCGCAUGGUUUCUAUUUGAAAGGCGCUUUUGCGUCACUGAUGGAUGGACCCGCGGUGCAUUAGCUAGUUGGUGAGGUAACGGCUCACCAAGGCAACGAUGCAUAGCCGACCUGAGAGGGUGAUCGGCCACAUUGGGACUGAGACACGGCCCAAACUCCUACGGGAGGCAGCAGUAGGGAAUCUUCGGCAAUGGACGAAAGUCUGACCGAGCAACGCCGCGUGAGUGAAGAAGGUUUUCGGAUCGUAAAACUCUGUUGUUAGAGAAGAACAAGGAUGAGAGUAAAACGUUCAUCCCUUGACGGUAUC
rnacentral:rRNA from 1 species